AAGGGUAUAGCUCAGUGGUAGAACACAUGCUUAGCAUGAACAAGCGCCUGGGUUCAAUCCCCAGUAUCUUCA
rnacentral:tRNA from 1 species